GAGAGGAGCCAGAGGGGUUGUAGAGGAAUUGUCUCAGAGAACAUGUCCAUGGGGCAAAAGCCCAGUCUCAUCAUGAGGAAAACAUACGCCAAAGCCUAAUUGAGGAACACUCUACAAAACACCUGAUCAGUAUUCCUCAAAGCUCUCAAGUCCAUCAAAAUCAAGGAAAGUCUGAGAAACUUGCAGACAAGAGGAACCUAAGGAGACACAACUACUAAAUGUAAUGUAUCCUCGAUGAGAACCUGGAACAGAAAAAAAGACAGUUACCAACAUCUGCAAUGGAUUCUUUUGAGUGUGACAUUCAGAGUACCUCAUUACAAAGUUAUGUUAAUG